rnacentral:rRNA from 1 species
GGUACCCUACGGGGCGCAGCAGUGAGGAAUAUUGGUCAAUGGUCGGGAGACUGAACCAGCCACGCCGCGUGAGGGAGGAAGGUACAGAGUAUCGUAAACCUCUUUUGUCAGAGAACAAAGGCGGGGACGUGUCCCCGGAUGAGUGUACCUGAAGAAAAAGCAUCGGCUAACUCCGUGCCAGCAGCCGCGAUAAUACGGAGGAUGCGAGCGUUAUCCGGAUUUAUUGGGUUUAAAGGG